GAUGAACGCUGCCGGCAUGCCUAACACAUGCAAGUCGAUCGGUAAGGCUCUUCGGAGUACACGAGAGGCGGACGGCUGAGUAACGCGUAGGAACACACCCUGCAGUGAGGGAUAAGACACCGAAAGGUGUUCUAAUACCGCAUACGGUCUUCGGAUUAAAGCAUUUAUGCGCUGAAGGAGUGGCCUGCGUCAUAUUAGAUAGUUGGUGAGGUAAUGGCUCACCAAGUCGAUGAUGUGUAGCUGGUCUGAGAGGAUGAUCAGCCAGACUGGAACUGAGACACGGUCCAGACUCCUACGGGAGGCAGCAGUGAGGAAUAUUUCACAAUGAGCGAAAGCUUGAUGGAGCAAUGCCGCGUGCAGGAUGAAGGCCCUCGGGUUGUAAACUGCUUUUAUAAGAGAAGAUUAUGACGGUAACUUAUGAAUAAGGGACGGCUAACUACGUG
rnacentral:rRNA from 1 species